AAAGUUAUUUUUUUGUACAGUAGGCAGUGAAUUUUUUUGUUUUGUACAGUAGGCAGUGAAAAAGUUUUCUAGGUUUUGUACGUGCUAGAAAAGCGUUAAGUAUGUAAUCAAUCGCGUACGUUUACGCAUACGUAUCAAGCGAACGGAAAGUAAGAAUUUGUAUGGAUUGGUGACCGCAAAUGAAUGGCCGCCCGAAAUUGCUGAAAUUGUAUAAGAAUUCUGAUGGGCGAUCCUUAAGUGCAUGAAUCCAACAUAUUACAUCUGAUCUGCUUGUUACGAACCUUACUGACUGAAACAUUAAAAGUGUAAAAUCAUCUGCACAUAAUGGAUUGUAAGGUCGGAUUGUCUCAUCGUGAGUUGUGUGUGAUUUACCUGAUAUUUUCAUGCGCAAUCAUGCCGUAGACAUAACAGUGGUAAUGAAUAUCGCUGCUACACCAUAAAAGUACACAACGGAACAAUAAGCGUCACAAUUGCUGGAAUGUCAUGUUAGCAAACCCAUUUAGACAAACUAUAAAUUGCAAGAGCAGCUAGUACCCCGGUGGUAGAAUCAUCAUGAUUUCUCAUUCUGUCUAAUUGACAAUUGUUACCAACAGAACGUAAAAGCGUGAUGAUUUUGCCGCCAGGGUAGUAACGGAUCGAAUUUAAAUCACCUUUUUGUUUGAGUUACAAUGAAUUGAAUAAGUGACCAAUUAUCUUAAUUAUGAAUCCUGAUAUUUGUUAAGUUUAAGAUUUUGUCGCGGAAUGUGCAGCUAUAGUGUAACGCAAAUAUGACCGUACAAUUUAGGGAUAUGAAGUAAG